rnacentral:sRNA from 1 species
UGCCCUGGAACGAUUCCCAGAAACAACCUGAAUAGUUGAAACAGCCUACCAAGAAAGGCCUUGGCCUUUCCAGCUACUUCUGAUUAUUUAUUCCAGAUUUACCUUUUCCCCAACCUGUCUCCUUCAGUAUCUAGGUCUUACCGUUUAUUAACAUUCACCUCCUCUUUCUCCUGUAUACCUAGGGGUGGAACAGAGUGUUAUUUCUGUAAUCAGGGCUUGAUUCUAUGUGGCUUUUUUAUGAGGGAAGCCCAUCAAGGUGGGAGUCCAGAAACAAUAUCCCUGCCUUACCCUCUCUGCUGAUGCCAUGGUUAUAUCUCUCCUUUAUUUUCAGCUCCUCUCCACCAAACUGCCAUAUUGCCGUGAGAAUGUGUGUCUGGCUUAUGGUAGUGAAUGGUCAGUUUAUGCAGUGGGCUCCCAAGCUCAUGUCUCCUUCUUGGAUCCACGGCAGCCAUCAUACAACAUCAAGUCUGUCUGUUCCAGGGAGCGAGGCAGUGGAAUCCGGUCAGUGAGUUUCUACGAGCACAUCAUCACUGUGGGAACAGGGCAGGGCUCCCUGCUGUUCUAUGACAUCCGAGCUCAGAGAUUUCUGGAAGAGAGGCUCUCAGCUUGUCAUGGGUCCAAGCCCAGACUAGCAGGGGAGAAUCUGAAACUAACCACUGGCAAAGGCUGGCUG